UAGCCAUGCAAGCCUAAGAGUAACUGAGACAACAGGAGGUCUGCGAACGGCUCAUUAUAUCAGAAAUUAUCUACCGGGAAAAUUGCAGUGAGAACUGCUUCAAUGGAUAACUUCGCGAAACGCGAAGCUAAUACAUGUACGGCACGUGAUGUUCUCCAUUCAACUGCUUUGGGGAAACCCUUUGCAGGGAGGAUGUCUCGCGAAUGGUUGACACAAGGACCGACGCCAGCAAUGGCAGUGUCUCAACGCGAUGAAUCAAACCAUUCAGCAGAAGCGUGCUUCGGCGCGCGUGUCCCGACGAAUUUCUGCCCUAUCAGCUUUUGACGGUAGUGUAGUGGACUACCGUGGCGAUAACGGGUACGGGGAAUUAGGGUUCGAUUCCGGAGAGGGAGCCUGAGAAACAGCUACCACUUCUACGGAGGGCAGCAGGCGCGUAAAUUGCCCAAUGCCAAACUGGUGAGGCAGCGAAGAGAAAUAGCGACUCCGCCUCUCUGAGUGCGGGGAUUGCAAUGGGUGGUAUGUAAACCCACCAACGAGUAACAAUUGGAGGACAGGUCUGGUGCCAGCACCCGCGGUAAUUCCAGCUCCAAUAGCGUAUAUUAACGCUGCUGCUGUUAAAGGGUUCGUAGUUGAAUACGGAGUUGUGAGUUUUUGCAAGUUCGCUUGCUCUUCUUCUCAACUCUGUCAUAGACGGGACCGGAGCCUUGCGGACGCGCUCCUUCACUGGAGUGCUGAUGCUGUUAGCUGAAGAGGUUAACAUUUCGCAUGCGACGCAUGCUUGGCCGCCCGUCGUUAUCACUGUGAAGAAAACAGCGUGUUCAAGGCAGCCGCUUGCGGUUGUAUGACAAAGCAUGGAAUGACAAAGCAUCGACCAGUGGGUCCGUCUUUUGUCGGUUUUUACGAUCCAUUUGGAUAAUUUGUUUUCAAAGCCUUCCGCUCGCUGUUCGCAGCGUCGGAACUUUGAUGAACACGGGAUUAAUGGGGGUUGUCGGGGGAAAACGUAUCUGGGC
rnacentral:rRNA from 1 species